ACUAAAUAGUUCUAUAACAAAACAAUUCGCCAGAGAACUACUAGCAACAGCUUAAAACUCAAAGGACUUGGCGGUGCUUUAUAUCCCUCUAGAGGAGCCUGUUCUAUAAUCGAUAAACCCCGAUAAACCUCACCAUCCCUUGCUAAUACAGUCUAUAUACCGCCAUCUUCAGCAAACAAUUGGAGUUU
rnacentral:rRNA from 1 species